GCGGGAGCUCGCCUGGCGCUGGUGGGGAGCCGCCAUUUUGUGGCGCUCGCUCCGUCAGCGACGCUGGUGUGGUGCCGGGCCGCUCGCUGCGGAGGGGCUGGGCGGCGAGGGGAGCUCCGCGUCGCCGUGCGCCUGUGGGAUGCGGCUGCCGUUGGCCAGGGGCUGGGCGAAGGCGAUGUGGCUGCCACCGUGGGUCGCUCCCUGAGACGGGGCUGCCCCUCCAGAAACCGUGCUCACUGUCGAGUCUUGAUGGAGGUGGGAGAUCCCCUCUGCUGAUGUCAAACCACAGCCUCAUCCAGCACAACGGCGUGUCUCCUGCAGUGGUCAGCAGUGGACGCCUAAGGAAUUCAGAACAGGGCAGGCACCUCUGGCUGUUUCCUCAAAAACACCCUCCAGCCUUCAGCAGCUUGUAGCUUCCCAUCUUCCUGCAACGGGUGCACUCCCAGGAGGCAAGUUUGCCCCUCUGAUGGUUUAUUUGGAGAUGCUGUGCCUGAAGCACGGGAAACUCCAGCACCAGAAGCUCAGCCGGCCGGGCAGUCUGGGGUGGAUGUGGUCUGCUGCACUCCCAGGCGUGCAGGUUGCAGUAGUGACACAUUUUCAGAAGGAUGUCAGGAAAGUGAGACCCUCAGGGCCCACUGAUGUAUGCAGUGUGUUGUCCCGGGAGGAAUGAGCUGCAAGACAGCAUGGUGCAGAGCAACUAGACAUGUUCCACAACUAGAGCCUUCCACAGGG